rnacentral:rRNA from 1 species
GCCAGACUCCUACGGGAGGCAGCAGUGAGGAAUAUUGGUCAAUGGGCGCGAGCCUGAACCAGCCAAGUCGCGUGAGGGAUGACGGCCCUACGGGUUGUAAACCUCUUUUGUCGGGGAGCAAAUUCCGUUACGUGUAACGGAGUCGAGAGUACCCGAAGAAAAAGCAUCGGCUAACUCCGUGCCAGCAGCCGCGGUAAUACGGAGGAUGCGAGCGUUAUCCGGAUUUAUUGGGUUUAAAGGGUGCGUAGGCGGAAUGCCAAGUCAGCGGUAAAAUCGCGGGGCUCAACCUCGCUCCGCCGUUGAAACUGGCGUUCUUGAGUGGGCGAGAAGUAUGCGGAAUGCGCAGUGUAGCGGUGAAAUGCUUAGAUAUUGCGCAGAACUCCGAUUGCGAAGGCAGCAUACCGGCGGCGAUCUGACGCUGAGGCACGAAAGCGUGGGUAUCGAACAGGAUUAGAUACCCCCGUAGC